GACGAACGCUGGCGGCGUGCUUAACACAUGCAAGUCGAACGGAAAGGCCCUGCUUUUGUGGGGUGCUCGAGUGGCGAACGGGUGAGUAACACGUGAGUAACCUGCCCUUGACUUUGGGAUAACUUCAGGAAACUGGGGCUAAUACCGGAUAGGAGCUCCUGCUGCAUGGUGGGGGUUGGAAAGUUUCGGCGGUUGGGGAUGGACUCGCGGCUUAUCAGCUUGUUGGUGGGGUAGUGGCUUACCAAGGCUUUGACGGGUAGCCGGCCUGAGAGGGUGACCGGGCACAUUGGGACUGAGAUACGGCCCAGACUCCUACGGGAGGCAGCAGUGGGGAAUAUUGCACAAUGGGCGGAAUCCUGAUGCAGCAACGCCGCGUGCGGGAUGACGGCCUUCGGGUUGUAAACCGCUUUCGCCUGUGACGAAGCGUGAGUGACGGUAAUGUGUAAAGAAGCACCGGCUAACUACGUG
rnacentral:rRNA from 1 species